AGCAGCCGCGGUAAUUCCAGCUCCAAUAGCGUAUAUUAAAGUUGUUGCAGUUAAAAAGCUCGUAGUUGAAUUUCGGGAUCAAUAUUUCGGUCAUGCCGUUGGUAUGCACUGUUAUCAUUGAUUUCUCACCUUCUAAAGAACCGUAAUGCCAUUAAUUUGGUGUUACGGGGAAUUAGGACUGUUACCUUGAAAAAUUAGAGUGUUUAAAGCAGGCUCACGCUUGAAUACAUUAGCAUGGAAUAAUGAAAUAGGACGGACUGAUUCUAUUUCGUUGGUUUCUAGGAUCACCGUAAUGAUUAAUAGGGAUAGUUGGGGGCAUUAGUAUUCAAUUGUCAGAGGUGAAAUUCUUGGAUUUAUUGAAGACUAACUACUGCGAAAGCAUUUGCCAAGGAUGUUUUCAUUAAUCAAAGAACGAAAGUUAGGGGAAUCGAAGACGAUCAGAUACCGUCGUAGUCUUAACCAUAAACUAUAGCCGACUAGGGAUCGGACGAAGUUAAUUUUAUAAUGUACGUCGU
rnacentral:rRNA from 1 species